AGUGGCGGACGGGUGAGUAACGCGUGAGAAUCUGCCUUGGGGUCGGGGACAACCACUGGAAACGGUGGCUAAUACCGGAUAAGCCGAUUGGUGAAAGAUUUAUUGCCCGAAGAGGAGCUCGCGUCUGAUUAGCUAGUUGGUGAGGUAAGAGCUCACCAAGGCAGCGAUCAGUAGCUGGUCUGAGAGGACGAUCAGCCACACUGGGACUGAGACACGGCCCAGACUCCUACGGGAGGCAGCAGUGGGGAAUUUUCCGCAAUGGGCGAAAGCCUGACGGAGCAAGACCGCGUGAGGGAGGAAGGCUCUUGGGUUGUAAACCUCUUUUCUCAGGGAAGAAGCUCUGACGGUACCUGAGGAAUCAGCCUCGGCUAACUCCGUGCCAGCAGCCGCGGUAAUACGGAGGAGGCAAGCGUUAUCCGGAAUUAUUGGGCGUAAAGCGUCCGCAGGUGGCGAUUCAAGUCUGCUGUCAAAGCACGGGGCUUAACUCCGUAAAGGCAGUGGAAACUGAAUAGCUAGAGUGCCGUAGGGGUAGAGGGAAUUCCCGGUGUAGCGGUGAAAUGCGUAGAGAUCGGGAAGAACAUCGGUGGCGAAAGCGCUCUACUGGACGGCAACUGACACUCAGGGACGAAAAGCUAGGGGAGCGAAUGGGAUUAGAUACCCC
rnacentral:rRNA from 1 species